UGGAAUGAUUCUAGGCUUUGUUCUCGACGACUUGUGGCGUACAUUCUUACAAAUUGAGCCUAUAUUUGUCUUGAUCAUCAAUUAAUUCAUAGUUUCUUUUAUUGACAUGAGUUACCUACGCUCGAAGAUUAUAUAUUUUUGGAUAUAAGAAUUUUUCAACCAAACUGAGUCUUGAACCUUUGAGAGAAAAUACUCUGCAAAGAAACAAACCAUGUAAAAAUCUAGACCCAUAAACGAAAACAAAGUAAGAAGCUGCGAGGAAAGCAAACCAAAACAACAAUUCAUCUACCUGUCUCGUUGCCUCGGUCAUCACGGCCAUUAUUAGCUGCAGGAACAGAUUCUUCAUCCCCAAAAAUAUAAUGUACAAAAAAUUAUUAUAGUUAAAAAGCUGUGAGGAAAGCAACAUGUAUAGAUACAAAAUGAUGAAAUAUAAAUCCAAAUAAGAUGAGUAACCAAAACCUAGCGGUAGAACUCCAUCAUUACCUGCAAGGAGAAGAGAAUGAUCA
rnacentral:lncRNA from 1 species